rnacentral:rRNA from 1 species
UACGUAGGGUGCAAGCGUUAAUCGGAAUUACUGGGCGUAAAGCGUGCGCAGGCGGUUUUGUAAGACUGUCGUGAAAUCCCCGGGCUCAACCUGGGAAUGGCGAUGGUGACUGCAAGGCUAGAGUUUGGCAGAGGGGGGUAGAAUUCCACGUGUAGCAGUGAGAUGCGUAGAUAUGUGGAGGAACACCGAUGGCGAAGGCAGCCCCCUGGGUCAAAACUGACGCUCAUGCACGAAAGCGUGGGGAGCAAACAGG